rnacentral:ncRNA from 1 species
UUUGAUAGAGGUUGCGGUUUUUAAGAGUAUAUCUGUAGAGUUAAGCACGAUGAAACAGAUAAAAAGGAAAAACUGCCGAAGAUUGUGAUUAAUGCUUUAAGGUCACAUUCUGGGGGUAUGUAUAAGAUGCAUAUCACUGUCACAAAGCAAUUUGUGGAGAGCUGUCA